rnacentral:rRNA from 1 species
UGGGGAAUAUUGGACAAUGGGCGCAAGCCUGAUCCAGCAAUGCCGCGUGAGUGAUGAAGGGCCUUAGGGUUGUAAAGCUCUUUCGCACGCGACGAUGAUGACGGUAGCGUGAGAAGAAGCCCCGGCUAACUUCGUGCCAGCAGCCGCGGUAAUACGAAGGGGGCUAGCGUUGUUCGGAAUUACUGGGCGUAAAGGGCGCGUAGGCGGCCUGUUUAGUCAGAAGUGAAAGCCCCGGGCUCAACCUGGGAAUAGCUUUUGAUACUGGCAGGCUUGAGUUCCGGAGAGGAUGGUGGAAUUCCCAGUGUAGAGGUGAAAUUCGUAGAUAUUGGGAAGAACACCGGUGGCGAAGGCGGCCAUCUGGACGGACACUGACGCUGAGGCGCGAAAGCGUGGGGAGCAAACAGGAUUAGAUACCCUGGGUACGUCCAGCGCCGUAAAGCCGAAUGAAGUGCUAGACGUCGGGGUGCAUGCACUUCGGUGUCGCCGCUAACGCAUUAAGCAUUCCGCCUGGGGAGUACGGCCGCAAGGUUAAAACUCAAAUGAAUUGACGGGGUCAUAGCUGUUUCCU